rnacentral:lncRNA from 1 species
CCGACUAUUGACGUGGCAGUGUGGCAAGGCGUCAACGGCAGUAUUGUUUCCAGCGCUCACUGUAGAGUGGGAGUGAAAACUACUUUCUCACAGCUUCAUUAGGUCGCAACCAGUCUACGCGUAUGUACUUCCAGGAGAAACUUUGAUUGUGCCAGUGGUUUGGAACUGAUAUAAGGCACUUUGGAAAUGCAGACGACAAUACUUUGAUGUGAAAGUUUGAAUACAACUAACUGAUUUAAGAAAAGAAUUGAGGGUAUGAGUCAACAGGAGCGUAGCAUAGUAAAUGAAUAAGCUAAUUUAGUCUAUAGUGUUAUGAGCGACUCUGAAUAAAACAGAGACUCUGAAUAAAACAGAGCAGCGCAAUGAUCAGAAAUUAAUCCCUGGAGUGAAAUGAGCAACUAACAAUUCAUCGGCUCAGCAGUCUUCAGUCACCUCCUUAUAAUGUUUUCAUGCCUUCAGGAAGAUGGUUGAAUAGUUUUAUGUGUAUUUUAUUGUUUUUGAUAUUGACAAGUAAAAGUGAUGUAGGCCGAACUGUAGAUGACGAAAUCCAUUAAAUCACUCAUGGCAUGGAAGAUUUUAGUAUAAAAUAAAAUAAUGAGUUUGACACAGCCCUAAAGAAGAGCAGCUUUCAAUAUAUAAUAAUGUUAAUAAUGCAGUAAAAUUAUGUAACGUACAUUUUUGUGAAACAAAAAAUAUUUUUUUACAUUAACUAAUUUAAGUGUAACGUUGGCCCAACUGUUAUAAAAUCCAUUAAAUCACUCAUGGCAUGGAAGAUUCUAGUAUAAAAUAAAAUAAUGAGUUUGACACAGCCCUAAAGAAGAGCAGCUUUCAAUAUAUAAUAAUGUUAAUAAUGCAGUAAAAUUAUGUAACGUACAUUUUUGUGAAACAAAAAAUAUUUUUUUACAUUAACUAAUUUAAGUAACGUUGGCCCAACUGUUAUAAAAUCCAUUAAAUCACUCAUGGCAUGGAAGAUUCUAGUAUAAAAUAAAAUAAUGAGUUUGACACAGCCCUAAAGAAGAGCAGCUUUCAAUAUAUAAUAAUGUUAAUAAUGCAGUAAAAUUAUGUAACGUACAUUUUUGUGAAACAAAAAAUAUUUUUUUACAUUAACUAAUUUAAGUAACGUUGGCCCAACUGUUAUAAAAUCCAUUAAAACCGCCCAUGGCAUGGAAGGUUUCAAAGUGUGAAACAACAUUUUUGUUAUUGACAUUAAUAAAAUCAAUAAAAUGAAAUAUAAUAAUGAAAUUGAUACAGCCUUGUAUAAGAGCAGUUGUCAAUAUAAAAUUGUGAAAUUGUAAUAAAAUUAUGUAAAGUAAAUUAUCUCUGGAAAAUA